CCCCUGUUUUACCGGUGGCAUGGCGAAAUUGACGAAAAAUAUGAAAAAUUCCUGAUGGCCCAGCCACCAUUUACAAGAAAAGACAUUCUACCUCCGAAAGGUAAAUUUA